rnacentral:rRNA from 1 species
AGCAGCCGCGGUAAUUCCAGCUCCAAUAGCGUAUAUUAAAGUUGUUGCAGUUAAAAAGCUCGUAGUUGAAUUUCGGGAUCAGUACGCCGGUCGUGCCUUCGGUAUGUACUGGUGUCACUGAUUCCUCCCUUCUGAAGAACCGUUAUGCCAUUAAUUUGGUGUGACGGGGAAUCAGGACUGUUACUUUGAAAAAAUUAGAGUGUUUAAAGCAGGCUCGCGCUUGAAUACAUUAGCAUGGAAUAAUGAAAUAGGACGUUUGAUCUUAUUUUGUUGGUUUCUAGGAUCGACGUAAUGAUUAAUAGGGAUAGUUGGGGGCAUUAGUAUUCAAUUGUCAGAGGUGAAAUUCUUGGAUUUAUUGAAGACUAACUACUGCGAAAGCAUUUGCCAAGGAUGUUUUCAUUAAUCAAGGACGAAAGUUAGGGGAUCGAAGACGAUCAGAUACCGUCGUAGUCUUAACCAUAAACUAUGCCGACUAGGGAUCGGAUGAUGUUAUUUUUAAUGACUCAUUCGGCGCCUUAAC